rnacentral:rRNA from 1 species
AUGAUUAAAGAUAGCUUGCUAUUUUUAUGAAGAGCGGCGAACGGGUGAGUAACGCGUGGGAAAUCUGCCGAGUAGCGGGGGACAACGUUUGGAAACGAACGCUAAUACCGCAUAACAAUGAGAAUCGCAUGAUUCUUAUUUAAAAGAAGCAAUUGCUUCACUACUUGAUGAUCCCGCGUUGUAUUAGCUAGUUGGUAGUGUAAAGGACUACCAAGGCGAUGAUACAUAGCCGACCUGAGAGGGUGAUCGGCCACACUGGGACUGAGACACGGCCCAGACUCCUACGGGAGGCAGCAGUAGGGAAUCUUCGGCAAUGGGGGCAACCCUGACCGAGCAACGCCGCGUGAGUGAAGAAGGUUUUCGGAUCGUAAAACUCUGUUGUUAGAGAAGAACGUUAAGUAGAGUGGAAAAUUACUUAAGUGACGG